UGGCUCUCGCAUCGAUGAAGAACGCAGCGAAAUGCGAUAAGUAAUGUGAAUUGCAGAAUUCAGUGAAUCAUCGAAUCUUUGAACGCACCUUGCGCUCCUUGGUAUUCCGAGGAGCAUGCCUGUUUGAGUGUCUUGAAGUCAUCAACCCCUUCCGUUUCGUGCGGAUCGGGUUGGACGUGGGGGCUCUGCCGCCGUGAGGCGGCUCCCCUCAAAUGCAUCGGUUGGGCCUGUGGGUCGAACUCGACUGGGCGUUGUACCAUCCUCGCUCGACAGAGACGUUCCCCUUCUGUGCCCCUCCCCGACCUGCCUUUAGAGAGUGGCGGUCAAGCAAACUUUGAAAUCUGACCUCAAAUCAGGUAGGACUACCCGCUGA
rnacentral:misc_RNA from 1 species